GAUGAACGCUGGCGGCGUGCCUAAUACAUGCAAGUCGAGCGGACGGACGAGAAGCUUGCUUCUUUGUUGUUAGCGGAGGACGGGUGAGUAACACGUGGAUAACCUACUUAUAAGACUGGGAUAACCUCGGGAAACCGGAGCUAAUACCGGAUAAUCUUCUGCACCGCAUGGUUCAAAAGUGAAUGACGGUCUUGCUGUCUCUAAUAGAUGGAUACGCGCUGCAUUAGCUAGUUGGUAAGGUAACGGCUUACCAAGGCUACGAUGCAUAGCCGAACUGAGAGAGUGAUCGGCCACACUAGAACUUAGACACGGUCCAUGCUCCUACGAGAGGCAGCAGUAUGGUAUCGGCCGCAAUAGUCGAAAGCCUUACGGAGCGACGCCGCGUGAGUGAUGAAGGUCUUCGGAUCGUAAUGCUCUGUUAUUGGUUAAGAACAUAUGUGUAAGUAGCUGUACACAUCUUGACGGUACCUAAUCAGAAAGCCACGGCUAACUACGUG
rnacentral:rRNA from 1 species